rnacentral:rRNA from 1 species
UACGUAGGGGGCAAGCGUUGUCCGGAAUCAUUGGGCGUAAAGAGCGCGUAGGCGGCCCAGUCAGUCCGCUCUGAAAGUCAGGGGCUCAACCCCUGAAUGCGGGUGGAUACUGCUGGGCUAGAGUCCGGAAGAGGCGAGUGGAAUUCCUGGUGUAGCGGUGAAAUGCGCAGAUAUCAGGAGGAACACCGAUGGCGAAGGCAGCUCGCUGGGACGGUACUGACGCUGAGGCGCGAAAGCGUGGGUAGCAAACAGG